UUCUUCGUUAACCGUCACUUAUUUUCUCUUCAUAUUUCAGAUCCCUGGUCGCUUUCAAUCUGGCUGACUCUACACGUAUAAGAUACGAUGGUACGACGAAACCUUGUUACAAUUACAAGGUGUUGACGAUGCUGAAGGAGAAUUACGGCUUCAAGUGCCAUCGUGAAUUCCACCUAGGAGGCUCAGAAUCUUGAACCUCCACCCCUCAAAACAUGGAUUUCCAACCAGUGGUCCGCAGAAGCCAAAAUAUUUAUUUACUUAGAAAUGCUGGAUACAAAUUCAUCUGAACAUCCGCUGGAAUCCUUCGAAGGAAAACUAGGAAGAUUGACGGAAGGACACUGUCUGUCUAUCCCUGGUCGCUUUCAAUCUACCAGACACAACACGAAUCAAAUACGAUGCCACGACAAAACCUUGCUACAAGGUGUUGACGAUGCUGAAGGAAAAUUACGGCUUCAAGUACCAUCGAGAAUUCCACCUAGGAGGAUCAGAUCCCUGGUCGCUUUCAAUCUGACUGACACUACACGUAUAAGAUACGAUGGUACGACGAAACCUUGUUACAAUUACAAGGUGUUGACGAUGCUGAAGGAGAAUUACGGCUUCAAGUGCCAUCGUGAAUUCCACCUAGGAGGCUCAGUACCAAGAAGAAGUACAAGAACUAGGAAGACACCGGAUAGAUGGACAUAUCAGGCGACCUACAUAAAAACAAAAAAACAACAACCCAAGGCCAAAAAAAGGGCUUUGACCAUAUAUGAACCAACACAAAGAGAGAGGAGAAUGGUGAGAAAACCUGGCCCCCCCAUCCCAGGUAUAAUUUAAGAGGGCUGGGGGCCCUGGUGGAGGGAAGAACCCCAUCAAGAAGGGAAAGAAAGCGAAAGGCGGAGGCAGGGGGUGAAGAAGCUGGUCCUCCAAAGCGGGCCCGUUUGGAGGAGGAGAUUGAAGAAGCCUGUCCGCAAAAGCGGGCCAGAAUGGAGGAGGCGGGCCCAUCCCAAAGGCCCGCGGCCGCCUUUGUUCAACCCCCAUCAAAGCGAAAGGCGGAGACAAGGAUUGAACAAGCUGGUCCUUCAAAGCGGGCCCGUUUGGAGGAGGCGGGCCCUUCGACAGAGCCCGCUCGGGCCUUCCAAAACGAGACAAACGAGACAUGGGCGGAGGCGGAGGAUCCAGCCUCAAGAACAACAUGAUAAAAAUUACUUUCAGUCAAUGAUCCUUUCACAUUUAUUAUAAUAUUCUUCAUGAAAAUGUCUAACAAUUUUGUUUCUUUCCUUAAUUCUUUCAAAAUAGGUUCCCAUGAUUUGAUAGAUAUACAAUAGGUUACCAGAUUGUCUGAAAGAUCUAAGAGGGAGAAAGUAUCUUUUUUGAAAGAUAAUUGUUUUUAUUCUGUGCGAGAAUUUCUUGAUCGUAAUCGUAAUGUUUAUUUACAUUGUUUGUUUUAUAUUUUUUUUUUACAUUACAGGUUAUGCCUUAAGUGCAAAUUUCCUUGGGGGGAAUAUAGACAUUUUCCUGAUUUCUUUAGGGGUUCUCAGACUGAUUUGAUGUUUGGUCAAUGCACGCCUGAUAGCACGGGUCUUCUUGGGUCUGAGGUCUAAAGGCUUGUACUUUUUGUUUUUGUACAACUUCCUCAAAUUUUCUUUCUGUUUUUGGUGCAUAACAAUGUAUACAAUUGUUAAACUUGUUUGUUUGUUGUUCAACUCGUGUUAUAUAUUAGUAUCUAUACAGGGUGUAACUGAAUAAGUGUAAAACAUUUAGGGAGG